GCAGUCGAGGGGCAGCGAGUAGAUUGCUUGCAAUCUACGUCGGCGACCGGCGCACGGGUGCGUAACGCGUAUGCAACCUACCCAUUACAGGGGGAUAACACUGAGAAAUCGGUACUAAUACCCCAUAACAUCCAGGGAGGCAUCUUCUUGGGUUGAAAACUCCGGUGGUAAUGGAUGGGCAUGCGUUGUAUUAGUUAGUUGGUGGGGUAACGGCUCACCAAGACGACGAUACAUAGGGGGACUGAGAGGUUAACCCCCCACAUUGGUACUGAGACACGGACCAAACUCCUACGGGAGGCAGCAGUGAGGAAUAUUGGUCAAUGGACGCAAGCCUGAACCAGCCAUGCCGCGUGCAGGAAGACGGCUCUAUGAGUUGUAAACUGCUUUUGUACGAGGGUAAACGCAGAUACGUGUAUCUGUCUGAAAGUAUCGUACGAAUAAGGAUCGGCUAACUCCGUGCCAGCAGCCGCGGUAAUACGGAGGAUUCAAGCGUUAUCCGGAUUUAUUGGGUUUAAAGGGUGCGUAGGCGGUCGGAUAAGUUAGAGGUGAAAUCCCGGGGCUCAACUUCGGAAUUGCCUCUGAUACUGUUCGGCUAGAGAGUAGUUGCGGUAGGCGGAAUGUAUGGUGUAGCGGUGAAAUGCUUAGAGAUCAUACAGAACACCGAUUGCGAAGGCAGCUUACCAAGCUACUUCUGACGUUGAGGCACGAAAGCG
rnacentral:rRNA from 1 species